AGACGGGGGGGGCUAGCGUUGUUCGGAAUUACUGGGCGUAAAGCGCACGUAGGCGGACCUGUAAGUCGGGGGUGAAAGCCCGAGGCUCAACCUCGGAACUGCCUCCGAUACUACAGGUCUUGAGUCCGAGAGAGGUGAGUGGAAUUCCUAGUGUAGAGGUGAAAUUCGUAGAUAUUAGGAAGAACACCAGUGGCGAAGGCGGCUCACUGGCUCGGUACUGACGCUGAGGUGCGAAAGCGUGGGGAGCAAACAGGAUUAGAUACCCCGGUAGUCC
rnacentral:rRNA from 1 species